UACAGAGGGCUCAAGCGUUGUCCGGAUUCAUUGGGCGUAAAGGGUGCGUAGGCGGCGCGGUAAGUCGGCUGUGAAAACCCGCAGCUCAACUGUGGGCUUGCAGCCGAUACGGGCGGGCUGGAGUUCGGUAGGGGAGACUGGAAUUCCUGGUGUAGCGGUGAAAUGCGCAGAUAUAAGGAGGAACACCGGUGGCGAAGGCGGGUCUCUGGGCCGAUACUGACGCUGAGGAGCGAAAGCGUGGGGAGCGAACAGG
rnacentral:rRNA from 1 species